rnacentral:lncRNA from 1 species
CGGAGGAGGAAAUGACGAAAUUGCUAGUGGAACUGACGGCAGCAGUAGGUACACUGGAAGCCUUCACCCAGGAAAACAGACAUCUGAUCCUGGGCGGGGCUGCUUCCUCUUGUUUACAAAACACCCUACUGAUUGGCAGCUCGUAGCGAAGGACUGCAUAAUGUCAGGCGUGGAGCUUCAACCUACAACCGUAGAUGCUUAUCCAGUUAGGUUACUCCCAGGAGGACAGCAAGAAUGGCAUCCCCUUGAUGUCAAAGCAGUACAAGCAUUGUUUAAAACAGCAAACGAACAUGGACUGAGACAUCCGGAAAAUACCUUAUUAUUGGAUACUAUCUUAGCUUUACCACUAACUCCAGCUGAUCUAAGACAGUUAGCAAAAGCAAUAUUAAAACCAACUAUGUUCUUGCUUUGGAAAGAAACAUGGGGCAAUCGUAUUAAUAACCUUGUACAAGCAGACUUAGAUCUACAACACACCUUACAUGGGACUACUUUUGACCGCCUUACAGGAUGGGGAGCAUUUUCAACAAGCCCUGCCCAAUUACAACUCAGACCCAGGGAAUUUACCACCACUACAGGAGCUGGUAAAAAAGCUUUCAUGGAUAUAGCUAAGUUAGAAAAGACAGAACCCCCUUGGACCUCUAUUAAGCAAGAACAAAAUGAACCGUUCUUGAAAUUUGUUAAUAGGCUCCACACUGCGGUCACAGAAUCAGACUUACCUGAUGGUGCUAAGGAAGCUGUAAUAAUAGAAUGUAUCCGACAGCAAUCUAAUCUAAUGAUCAAGGAUAUUGUAAAGGAUAUUCCUUUGAAUACGCCUAUUGCCACCCUCCUACGACAAGUGGUGCAAAAGGAGGCAAUGAUACAUGCCCAAGGUGACAUCCAUCUUGCAGAAAAACCUAUAUCAUAUAGAAAAAACAACCUCUCUGGUGUUCAUAAAAGAUCUGAUCAGAUGAAGCGACAAGAACCACGUUCCUUGAUAACUGCACCUUGCUGGGUAUGCGGCAAAAAAGGUCAUUUGGCACGGGAUUGUUGGUAUAAAUAUCAGGGAAACGAAAGGGGAGGAGCCAGGAAUGGGGGCUGGGCUCCUCCAAUGCCCCGCAAGCAACCCCCAAAAAUCAGAGACAACUUCUCCUAUACUCCCCAAGUGACAGUCAAGUGUGCC